AAAUUGAAGAGUUUGAUCAUGGCUCAGAUUGAACGCUGGCGGCAGGCCUAACACAUGCAAGUCGAACGGUAACAGGAAGCAGCUUGCUGCUUUGCUGACGAGUGGCGGACGGGUGAGUAAUGUCUGGGAAACUGCCUGAUGGAGGGGGAUAACUACUGGAAACGGUAGCUAAUACCGCAUAACGUCGCAAGACCAAAGAGGGGGACCUUAGGGCCUCUUGCCAUCGGAUGUGCCCAGAUGGGAUUAGCUAGUAGGUGGGGUAACGGCUCACCUAGGCGACGAUCCCUAGCUGGUCUGAGAGGAUGACCAGCCACACUGGAACUGAGACACGGUCCAGACUCCUACGGGAGGCAGCAGUGGGGAAUAUUGCACAAUGGGCGCAAGCCUGAUGCAGCCAUGCCGCGUGUAUGAAGAAGGCCUUCGGGUUGUAAAGUACUUUCAGCGGGGAGGAAGGGAGUAAAGUUAAUACCUUUGCUCAUUGACGUUACCCGCAGAAGAAGCACCGGCUAACUCCGUGCCAGCAGCCGCGGUAAUACGGAGGGUGCAAGCGUUAAUCGGAAUUACUGGGCGUAAAGCGCACGCAGGCGGUUUGUUAAGUCAGAU
rnacentral:rRNA from 1 species